rfam:Citrus clementina cultivar Clemenules unplaced genomic scaffold scaffold_1, whole genome shotgun sequence.
CAAACGGCCUUAUUAAAGGCUAACUCAAAAAGUUAAAAUUAUAUUU